AUGGUGGUUUUACUAAGGCAGCCGCCCGCCGGCCCCGCCCUCAGCGCCGCCGACACUAAGCCUGGCAACACCGGCAGCGGCGCAGGGAGCUGUGGCCCGGGAGGCCUCACAAGGGCGGCGCCUGCCGGAACAAGAAGGUCAUCGCAAGGAAGGUUUUGGGAACAGUAAAAUGGUUGAAUGUAAGGAACGGAUAUGGUUUCAUCAACAGGAAUGACACCAAGGAAGAUGUAUUUGUACACCAGACUGCCAUAAAGAAGAAUAACCCCAGGAAGUAACUUCGCAGUGUAGGAGAUGGAGAGACUGUGGAGUUUGAUGUUGUUGAAGGAGAAAAGGGUGCGGAGGCAGCAAAUGUUACAGGUCCUGGUGGUGUUCCAGUUCAAGGCAGUAAAUAUGCAGCAGACCGUAACCAUUAUAGACGCUAUCCACCUCGUAGGGGUCCUCCAUGCAAUUACCAGCAAAAUUACCAGAAUAGUGAGAGUGGGGAAAAGAACGAGCGAUCGGAGUGUGCUCCCGAAGUCCAGGCCCAACAACACCGGCCCUACUGCAGGUGAAGGUUCCCACCUUACUACAUGCGGAGACCCUAUGGGCGUCGACCACAGUAUUCCAACCCUCCUGUGCAGGGAGAAGUGACGGAGGGUGCUGACAACCAGGGUGCAGGAGAACAAGGCAGACCAGUGAGGCAGAAUAUGUAUCGGGGAUAUAGACCACGAUUCCGCAGGGGCCCUCCUCGCCAAAGACAGCCUAGAGAGGACGGCAACGAAGAAGAUAAAGAAAAUCAAGGAGAUGAGACCCAAGGUCAGCAGCCACCUCAACGUCGGUACCGCCGCAACUUCAAUGACCCACGCAGACGCCCAGAAAACCCUAAACCACAAGAUGGCAAAGAGACAAAAGCAGCCGAUCCACCAGCUGAGAAUUCGUCCGCUCCCGAGGCUGAGCAGGGCGGGGCUGAGUAAAUGCCGGCUUACCAUCUCUACCAUCAUCCGGUUUAGUCAUCCAACAAGAAGAAAUAUGAAAUUCCAGCAAUAAGAAAUGA